rnacentral:rRNA from 1 species
AUUGAACGCUGGCGGCAUGCUUUACACAUGCAAGUCGAACGGCAGCACGGGUGCUUGCACCUGGUGGCGAGUGGCGGACGGGUGAGUAAUACAUCGGAACGUAUCCUAAAGUGGGGGAUAACGCAUCGAAAGAUGUGCUAAUACCGCAUACACUCUGAGGAGGAAAGUAGGGGAUCGAAAGACCUUAUGCUUUUGGAGCGGCCGAUGUCUGAUUAGCUAGUUGGUAAGGUAAUGGCUUACCAAGGCAACGAUCAGUAGUUGGUCUGAGAGGACGACCAGCCACACUGGGACUGAGACACGGCCCAGACUCCUACGGGAGGCAGCAGUGGGGAAUUUUGGACAAUGGGCGCAAGCCUGAUCCAGCAAUGCCGCGUGAGUGAAGAAGGCCU